CCGGAUGGACCGCCGAAUCCUGCCGCUGUCCGGAAACCUCCCACACACGAAAAGGCAGGAGCGGGGGACCCAGGUAGGCCGCCGAAUCCGGAUGACGGAACGGCUCGGGGUGAAGUCGCGUGCAGCGCGGCCGGGCAGCUCUCGCCCGAACCCGACAGCUCACCUCGCAGGCGAAGGAGAGGAAUG
rnacentral:sRNA from 2 species